CUAGUGGUUAGAGCGUUGGACUAGUAACCAGCAGGUAGCCUAGUGGUUAGAGUGUUGGCCUAGUAACCAGCAGGUAGCCUAGUGGUUAGAGCGUUGGACUAGUAACCAGCAGGUAGCCUAGUGGUUAGAGCGUUGGCCUAGUAACCAGCAGGUAGCCUAGUGGUUAGAGCGUUGGCCUAGUAACCAGCAGGUAGCCUAGUGGUUAGAGUGUUGGACUAGUAACCAGCAGGUAGCCUAGUGGUUAGAGCGUUGGACUAGUAACCAGCAGGUAGCCUAGUGGUUAGAGCGUUGGACUAGUAACCAGCAGGUAGCCUAGUGGUUAGAGUGUUGGACUAGUAACCAGCAGGUAGCCUAGUGGUUAGAGCGUUGGACUAGUAACCAGCAGGUAGCCUAGUGGUUAGAGCGUUGGACUAGUAACCAGCAGGUAGCCUAGUGGUUAGAGUGUUGGACCAGUAACCAGCAGGUAGCCUAGUGGUUAGAGUGUUGGACUAGUAACCAGCAGGUAGCCUAGUGGUUAGAGCGUUGGACUAGUAACCAGCAGGUAGCCUAGUGGUUAGAGUGUUGGACUAGUAACCAGCAGGUAGCCUAGUGGUUAGAGCGUUGGACUAGUAACCAGCAGGUAGCCUAGUGGUUAGAGCGUUGGACUAGUAACCAGCAGGUAGCCUAGUGGUUAGAGCGUUGGACUAGUAACCAGCAGGUAGCCUAGUGGUUAGAGUGUUGGACUAGUAACCAGCAGGUAGCCUAGUGGUUAGAGCGUUGGACUAGUAACCAGCAGGUAGCCUAGUGGUUAGAGCGUUGGACUAGUAACCAGCAGGUAGCCUAGUGGUUAGAGUGUUGGACUAGUAACCAGCAGGUAGCCUAGUGGUUAGAGCGUUGGACUAGUAACCAGCAGGUAGCCUAGUGGUUAGAGCGUUGGACUAGUAACCAGCAGGUAGCCUAGUGGUUAGAGCGUUGGACUAGUAACCAGCAGGUAGCCUAGUGGUUAGAGUGUUGGACUAGUAACCAGCAGGUAGCCUAGUGGUUAGAGCGUUGGACUAGUAACCAGCAGGUAGCCUAGUGGUUAGAGCGUUGGACUAGUAACCAGCAGGUAGCCUAGUGGUUAGAGUGUUGGACUAGUAACCAGCAGGUAGCCUAGUGGUUAGAGCGUUGGACUAGUAACCAGCAGGUAGCCUAGUGGUUAGAGUGUUGGACUAGUAACCAGCAGGUAGCCUAGUGGUUAGAGCGUUGGACUAGUAACCAGCAGGUAGCCUAGUGGUUAGAGCGUUGGACUAGUAACCAGCAGGUAGCCUAGUGGUUAGAGUGUUGGACUAGUAACCAGCAGGUAGCCUAGUGGUUAGAGCGUUGGACUAGUAACCAGCAGGUAGCCUAGUGGUUAGAGCGUUGGACUAGUAACCAGCAGGUAGCCUAGUGGUUAGAGUGUUGGACUAGUAACCAGCAGGUAGCCUAGUGGUUAGAGCGUUGGACUAGUAACCAGCAGGUAGCCUAGUGGUUAGAGCGUUGGACUAGUAACCAGCAGGUAGCCUAGUGGUUAGAGUGUUGGACUAGUAACCAGCAGGUAGCCUAGUGGUUAGAGUGUUGGACUAGUAACCAGCAGGUAGCCUAGUGGUUAGAGCAUUGGACUAGUAACCAGCAGGUAGCCUAGUGGUUAGAGUGUUGGACUAGUAACCAGCAGGUAGCCUAGUGGUUAGAGCGUUGGACUAGUAACCAGCAGGUAGCCUAGUGGUUAGAGCGUUGGACUAGUAACCAGCAGGUAGCCUAGUGGUUAGAGUGUUGGACUAGUAACCAGCAGGUAGCCUAGUGGUUAGAGCGUUGGACUAGUAACCAGCAGGUAGCAUAGUGGUUAGAGCGUUGGACUAGUAACCAGCAGGUAGCA